UACAGAGGUCUCAAGCGUUGUUCGGAUUCAUUGGGCGUAAAGGGUGCGUAGGUGGCGCGCUAAGUCGGGUGUGAAAUUUCGGAGCUUAACUCCGAAACUGCAUUCGAUACUGGCGUGCUCGAGGACUGGAGAGGAGACUGGAAUUCAUGGUGUAGCAGUGAAAUGCGUAGAGAUCAUGAGGAGGACCAGUGGCGAAGGCGGGUCUCUGGACAGUUCCUGACACUGAGGCACGAAGGCCAGGGGAGCAAACGGG
rnacentral:rRNA from 1 species